CGCAUGUGCCCUAAAACAUUUUGAACAUAUAUGCAAUAACCGACAACCGCUGUAAUUACAUGCACCGACAUUGAAAUUAUUACAUAUUUGGGACUUCCCCAAAAACUUGAUAGGUCGACCCAGUUUGUCUUUGGGUGUUCUCUCUGCCGAAACAGCGGAGCUAGUGCCCUGCGAGGUGGUAGGUUCGUUCGCAGUGGUCGGACAAAAAUUGGCAGUAUGAGCCAUGGAGGAGCAGUGUGCACAGGCCGGUGCUCUUAGACCUGCAAAGUGCCUGCAAAAAAUGAUCGUAUCAAUCUUACUCCAGUUGGAC